rnacentral:rRNA from 1 species
UACGGAGGGUGCAAACGUUGCUCGGAAUUAUUGGGCGUAAAGCGCUCGCAGGUGGUUCGUCGCGUCGUGCGUGAAAGACCCCGGCUCAACUGGGGAGGGUCGUGCGAUACGGGCGGACUGGAGGCCAGUAGGGGGAUGCGGAAUUCCGGGUGUAGUGGUGGAAUGCGUAGAGAUCCGGAGGAACACCAGCGGCGAAGGCGGCAUCCUGGACUGGUCCUGACACUCAUGAGCGAAAGCGUGGGGAGCGAUCCGG